AACGAACGCUGGCGGCAGGCUUAACACAUGCAAGUCGAACGCCCCGCAAGGGGAGUGGCAGACGGGUGAGUAACACGUGGGAACGUGCCCUAAGGUUUGGAAUAUUCCCGGGAAACUGGGAGCAAUACCAAAUGUGUCCGUAAGGAGAAAGAUUUAUCGCCUUAGGAUCGGCCCGCGUCAGAUUAGGUAGUUGGUGGGGUAAUGGCCUACCAAGCCGGCGAUCUGUAGCUGGUCUGAGAGGACGACCAGCCACACUGGGACUGAGACACGGCCCAGACUCCUACGGGAGGCAGCAGUGGGGAAUCUUGGACAAUGGGCGCAAGCCUGAUCCAGCCAUGCCGCGUGGAUGAUGAAGGCCCUAGGGUUGUAAAAUCCUUUCGUUGGGGACGAUAAUGACGGUACCCAAAGAAGAAGCUCCGGCUAACUUCGUGCCAGCAGCCGCCAGUAACAC
rnacentral:rRNA from 1 species